rnacentral:lncRNA from 1 species
CUCCUGAAUGUCUCAUUCUCAAACUAAUUUUGCUUGAAAUUGUGGCUGGAGAUGGUAUGUUUGAAACUUAAUAUGAUGAACAUAGAACAGAUUUCAACACCUUUUUAGCAAAAGAUGUUCACAUAAACCUGAAAUGAAUAUAGCCAAAGAGGACGUGGUCUUUCAGCACCUCCAGCUAAAAAAUGCUGCAGAGGAACUUCCUGUAUUAAGUACAGAUGGGGUUUCACCAUGUUCGCCAGGAUGGUCUCGAUCUCCUGACCUCGUGAUCUGUCCACCUCUGCCUCCCAAAGUGCUGAGAUUACAGGUGUGAGCCACCACUCCCAGCCUUUGUCAUCAUUUCAGAUAGGGUGAAGGAAUGGUUUAAGUCGCCUCCAAGGUAUCUUGUUGGGGGUGAGGGGUACAGAGGGGUCUUACUGAAUGGUGAUGAAAAAGGGGACACAAGCGAAAAAUCAACAUUGGAGAAAAGAUAACUAAACCCUGGGAAGCUUAAGGAACAAAGUGUAACAAAACAACAUGGAUUGUUUUAUAAAAUACUUUGAGAUAUCCAGGAUUAAAAGUAUGAUAAAAAAUAA